ACAUGAUAGAUUUCGUGACAUAUAUAGUUUAUUUCCUACUGUCUAUAUUUUAAAUCUUGCACGCUCACCCACAAACACUCGAUAUUAUAUUGGACAUUCUUGGUAUAUUUGUGUAUAUGUUAUGACAACAUGCAAUGUCUACGUUUCAAAAUACAAGAAAUCUUGGAAGACUGUCAGCAUAUGACUGAUAAAAACACUUUGACACACCAACAUCCUCCGUCAGGACGAGGCAUGCAGAUGAAAACGCCACAUGCAGCUUCUUUCCAACUAAGGCUUCCACUUGAGACUUUCAAGUGUUUUUAUCUUUUAUAAGAUCAUCCAAG